AAAUUAAAAAUAUUAUAUAGAUUUUGAUGUGAGUGAUUUAAGGUUAU
rnacentral:guide_RNA from 1 species